ensembl:lncRNA
UUAAUAUGAAGUCUGUGUGUUGAACUAGUCCACUGUUCACUAAAGGAGACCCGAGUGUAGAACCGCACGUGGUAAUCGCAGUCCCGAGGCCGUCGCAGCGACCGUCGUCCCAGCGACCACGGCGAGAUAAAAAGGAAUUACUCCUCGUCAAAUUGUGUGCACUCGAAAAGAUAAGACAACGCAAACAAUAUUUACAACAACACAGAAAACAUCUCGAGACCGGACUCGAGUCCCGCAGCUCUAGAAGUCGAUAUCAAAAUAAAAUAGGAACGCCGUUAUCUUCACUGUCCAAAUGAACUAUGAAGACUAGUCGGGGCUGUGAAAAAAAUACAGCAAGGCAGACAGUCAAUAAAGCAACUACAUUUAUUUUGUAGGUGUGAAAAUAUUUCAGACAAGAUCAAACCGAUUCAAUGGUCAUCUGCACAAGGUGAUGGAAAAAAAGCUUUUUACCCCCCUAUGUUUUAACAGGCCACUGGCACUGAGUAGAGGUGUGUGCACGAUCGCCUUUAAAUUCCUAUUCCCGGGACCGUCCUGAAACACCUCCAGGUACUGUACUGAACUGACUCCAGGUACUGUACUGAACUGACUCCAGGUACUGUACUGAACUGACUCCUGGUACUGUACUGAACUGACUCCUGGUACUGUACUGAAACACCUCCAGGUACUGUACUGAAACACCUCCUGGUACUGUACUGAACUGACUCCAGGUACUGUACUGAACUGACUCCAGGUACUGUACUGAACUGACUCCUGGUACUGUACUGAAACACCUCCUGGUACUGUACUGAACUGACUCCAGGUACUGUACUGAACUGACUCCAGGUACUGUACUGAAACACCUCCUGGAUGCUGCUGUAGACAUCCUCCUGCCAUCAUUAAACUAUAAGGCGUUUCUGUGACGUGCUGCGCUCCCAGUUAGAGGAGAUGACCCGUUGAGUGGUCUUAAUAAAACAAAACAAAACCUCUAAUACAAACGCAAGACUCUUCAUCGAUCUUCGUUUCCUUUUCUAAAACAUUUACAGCGUCUAGCAUUGAAGCGCUCACUGCAGACUCACCACCUCCGGGUAAUAUCCCCAGACCCCGAGCACUGGGGAAGAUCAGUGAAGGCCUCGUUCAUAAUUGAUGGUGGAACCAGAGGAGCUGUUUUUCAGGAUUAUUACGAGAGCCGAGUCCAUUCCCACGUGUGCGAAGAGAGAAAUUCACGGCUCAAAGUUUCAUUCAACAUUACACACACAUCUAAGAGCUGAACCAGGCCCUGGGGAGUGUUCUUUAUUGAAACGCUAAAGGCCUUGAGAAGAUUAUUUUGUGGACCAGGACAGGUGCAUCAAACGCCGAACAGAAUAAUAAUCGUCCUCCAGCAGGGUUGUGUCUAUAAAACAGCAGUGCCGCGUCGCAUCGCCAUUCUGCUCACCGUUGUCGCUGUAGCUGUUUAAAAAAGGACAAGUAACGCUCACGAUCAACGAGCGGAUAGAUUUUCUUUGACGUGACUCACAUGGAGCUUAAUUUGCAUUUAAACGUGUGUCGCGUGCCCUCGCUCGUCCCCUCGCGGAUGAACUAUUGAGCGUAAGGUACCGCGAGUUUAUAAUAGUGGCGAUAAGUACACAUAUCGUCGAGUUCACACUUUGUCAGACGAAGUUAAAAUACAACACGGAUUGGUUGAGCGGUUUCGGAAAAAAAAACAACAUAAAGAAACCUUCGAAGAAGCUGCGUUUAACGUAGAUCGCAGCGGAGUUACGAAAUGCAAGUUUACGCUAACUAUCGGCGACAAGACUGACCAUCACUGUGGGUAAAUAAAUCAAAACAAAUCUGCAGCAGUAAAACAUGAUUAGUCGUGUAGUCAAAUUGUGACGUCGCCGCGUACAUGGUCCGAAAAAGAGCGCAGAAAAGAAAAGAAAAGAGGGGAAAAGCCUGACCUACAGUUACCACACUCCCGAAGAUCGCUGUCUGGAAGAAAAGCCAUUCUAGCCAGAGCUGUUAUGAGAACUCUUCCGUAACAUGACCAAUCAAACGGGCUGCACUAUUUCUAGCUCCGCCCCCCACGUCCCUGUUCGGCUUUUCAGCACUUGAUUACAGUAGAUCUCACUAAACGAUGCAAAUAACAGUGAAGAGAGUUUUACCUUGUCAUGUCAUAGUAAUAUUUGUGAUACUUUUUAGUCUUUCUCAUCGGUGCGUAAAAUCUCCCUCGGGUAUAUUGUAUUUAACCAUAGUCUAAGGUACAUGGUGAAUUAUUUAAUGUUUCAUCUGAGCUUUUUUAGUAGCGACGUAACGAGUAUGAAUACACCGUUGGAGAAUGAGCAGGUAAUCGUGUUCUAAACUGAUACAAACACUCAGUACGUUUACAUGGACCACGAUAAUCCGAUAUUAAUCCGAUUGAGACGAUAUUCUGAUUGAGAAACUAGCAUGUGAACAGAGAUUACUGACGACCUUAAUCUGAUUAAAGUCACACUCGGAGUAAACACAGAUGGAAUUACGUCAUGUGGCGUAUUCCUGUUUUAUUCACGUUAUCGACGUGCGUUACAGACGCGUACACGCCUUAAUCACACUAUUAACGUCGUGCGAGAGUUUUCACCGUAUUGUGCGACAGGACACGUACACACACGGCAGCGCUCGAGCGUUUUACGGCGAACAAGAGAACGCGUCCCAAACCGCGUACUUACGCGCGGUGUAGUAGGCGAGAUGCAUGUAUUUAUGUAAGUACGCGGUUCGGGACGCAGCCCACGGCUUCAAUCGGUCGUCUGUUUGCACGUACAGCGCGACUAAUAAUCAACCGCACUUGAAGCUUUCAUAAAAAAAUUAUAAAUGAAACACCCGAAACUGUAUAUGGUACCAUAACGAAGAUGAACUGUAUGUCGAUAGGUGAAAUUCUGGAGGGAUGACGGACAUAUAUGUAUAUUUAAUAAUAAUAAUAAUAAUAAUAAUAAUAA